CCUACGGGUGGCUGCAGUGGGGAAUAUUGGACAAUGGGCGAAAGCCUGAUCCAGCCAUGCCGCGUGUGUGAAGAAGGCCUUCGGGUUGUAAAGCACUUUCAGUGGGGAAGAAAGCCUUGGGGCUAAUACCCUCGAGGAAGGACAUCACCCACAGAAGAAGCACCGGCUAACUCCGUGCCAGCAGCCGCGGUAAUACGGAGGGUGCGAGCGUUAAUCGGAAUUACUGGGCGUAAAGCGCGCGUAGGCGGUCUGAUAAGCCGGUUGUGAAAGCCCCGGGCUCAACCUGGGAACGGCAUCCGGAACUGUCAGGCUAGAGUGCAGGAGAGGAAGGUAGAAUUCCCGGUGUAGCGGUGUAAUGCGUAGAGAGCGGGAGGAAUACCAGUGGCGAAGGCGGCCUUCUGGACUGACACUGACGCUGAGGUGCGAAAGCGUGGGUAGCAAACAGGAUUAGAUACCCCGGUAGUC
rnacentral:rRNA from 1 species